GUGGUUGUAGCUCAGUGGUAGAGUGCUUUCCUAGCAUGUGUGAGGUCCUGAGUUCAAUUCUUAGCACCACA
rnacentral:tRNA from 1 species